GCGGAUGGCCGGAUGGCCGCGUGCCCGCCAACGGGUGCGAGGAAAGUCCGGACUCCAUGAAGCAAAGGUGCCGGGUAACGCCCGGCCGGGGCAACCCGAGGGAAAGCGCCACAGAGAACAGACCGCCAUGCCUGCAUGGCAAGGGUGAAACGGUGGGGUAAGAGCCCACCGCGGACCGGGUAACCGGGACGGCACGGCAAGCCCCACCUGGAGCAAUGCCGAAUAGGGACCUCAUGCCGGGGCUGAUCCCACAGGGAUAUCGCCGCAGGGCCGCUUCAGCCCGAGGUCCGGGUUGGCAGCCAGACCCUGUCGGCAACGACAGGGCCAGAUGAAUGGUCAUCGCCGGGGCAACCCGGAACAGAAUCCGGCUUACAGGCCAUCCGCGCAA
rnacentral:RNase_P_RNA from 1 species